rnacentral:rRNA from 1 species
AGUCUGGUGCCAGCAGCCGCGGUAAUUCCAGCUCCAAUAGUGUAUAUUAAAGUUGCUGCGGUUAAAAAGCUCGUAGUUGGAUUUCGGUAGUGUCCUGGCAAAGCUCGUCGCAAGGCGUGGCUCGUCGGGCGCUUCCUACUUUUAGGUAAUGGCCCUCUUGCUUUACGGCUUGGGGAUCACCGUUCCUAAUCAUUUACUUUGAAAAAAUUAGAGUGUUCAAAGCAGGCGUAACCUUGCCAUUGAAUAUUACAGCAUGGGAUAAUAGAAUAUGACAUUGGUCUUAUUUUGUUGGUUUCUAAGGCUGAUGUAAUGAUUAAUAGGGAUAGUUGGGGUCGCUCGUAUUGAGUUGUCAGAGGUGAAAUUCUAGGAUUUACUCAAGACGAACUAAUGCGAAAGCAUUCGACAAGGAUGUUUUCAUUAAUCAAGAGCGAAAGUUGGGGGAUCGAAGAUGAUCAGAUACCGUCGUAGUCUCAACCAUAAACUAUGUGGACCAAGGAUCCGAGGACGUUACAUGGAUGACUCUCCGGGCACUUUGUGAGAAAUCAUAAGUAUUUGCAUUCCGGGGGGAGUAUGGUCGCAAGGCUGAAACUUAAAGGAAUUGACGGAAGGGCACCACCAGGAGUGGAACCUGCGGCUUAAUUUGACCCAACACGGGGAAACUUACCAGGUCCGGACACUAUGAGGAUUGACAGAUUAAGAGCUCUUUCUUGAUUUAGUGGGUGGUGGUGCAUGGCCGUUUUUAGUUGGUGGAGUGAUUUGUCUGGUUAAUUCCGUUAACGAACGAGACCUUAACCUAUUAAUUAGUUACGCAAACUUUGGGGGCAACCUCAAUCGGUUUGUGGCUGAACUUCUUAGAGGGACUCUCGGCAUAUCUAGCCGAUGGAAGUUUGAGGCAAAAACAGGCCUGUGAUGCCCUUAGAUGCCCUGGGCUGCACGCGCGUUACACUGACGAUCGCAACGAGUGGUCUCCUUGUCCGAUGGGACUGGGUAAGCUUUGAAAAGAUCGUCGUGAUGGGGAUUGAACCUUGCAAUUAUUGUUCAUGAACGAGGAAUUCCUAGUAAGCGUGGUUCAUCAGACCACGCUGAUUACGUCCCUGCCCUUUGUACACACCGCCCGUCGCUCCUACCGAUUGAAUGGUCCGGUGAGAACUCAGGAUAGCAUUAUUGCAGUUGCUCGCAAGGGUAAACGGAUAAAGUUAGAAUUUGUUCAAACCUUACCAUUUAGA